GCAAGUCGAACGAGAACGGAUUUAAGUUUACUUAAAUUGUCAGCUAAGUGGCGCACGGGUGAGUAAUAUAUAGGUAAUGUGCCCUAGAGAAGAGGAUAACAGUUGGAAACGACUGCUAAGACUCUAUAUGCCUUUAAGACAUAAGUCUGCAAGGGAAAUAUUUAUAGCUCUAGGAUCGGCCUGUACAGUAUCAGUUAGUUGGUGAGGUAAUGGCUCACCAAGACAAUGACGCUUAACUGGUUUGAGAGGAUGAUC
rnacentral:rRNA from 1 species